rnacentral:sRNA from 1 species
GGAAGAAGAGGAAAACCUGCCUGAGGAAGACAGCGAAGAGGAAGAAGAAGGGGGCUCAGAAGCAGAACAAGUCCAGGGUAGCUUAGUCCUUUCAAAUGAAAACCUUGGUCAAAGCCUGCAUCAGGAAGGCUUUUCUAUCCCGCUCCUAUGGCUCCAGAACUGCCUGAUCCGAGCAGCUGAUGAUCGGGAAGAGGAUGGUGAGUGGACAGGCGACACUUUUAGGAGAAGAGCCCUGGAGGCUAUUGGAGACCUACCUGGUCAUGGGAUGGAGAACCAGUUCUUCCCUUAUAUCUUCACCAUAUGACUAUUGACCCUGUCUUAGGCUGCUCCCAGGCCGUUCCAUUGGUGCCACUCACAGAGGAAAAUGAGGAAGCCAUGGAAAACGAACAGUUUCAGCAGCUGUUGCGCAAGCUAGGGGUUCGGCCCCCUGCCUCUGGGCAGGAAACCUUCUGGCGAAUUCCAGCCAAGCUGAGUCCUACCCAGCUCCGGAGGGUAGCAGCUUCUUUGAGUC